UUUAGUCUGGAAAGGAAAGGAGCGGAGGACCUAUGGGGUCAAUGAUGUGCCUGAAAGCCUGACUUCCACCUAGGCAGGAUUUCACUCUGAGGUUCACCCUACACACUUUGCCGUGGCCGUCCAUUUUACCACGAGCCAUUUCGAUGCCAUUGCAUUUCCACGAGACAGCCUAGUCCUUGAUCCGUCAUAGAGUUACGGCCGUCCUUCAGACAGCAAGGGACAUCAAGGCUCUGCCUCCGGGCUGGGGGUGAGGAGCCAGCUGUGCUCCAGCUGUGACUUCGACCCAGGCAUCUGCAGCCCCAAGGUCUCUGCCCACAGAUUUCGUGAAAACCAGCUUGUAACUGAGAAGACGAAUAGUUUAUCUUCAGCUGCCCUAUUUACAUUACAAGAGUGCAACCAAGAAAUCAAUGCACUUAGCAGAAGAGAAAGCACCAGCCUGACCACUGCCAAAGGCAGGGCUGGUGGGUGAGCCCGGAGGAGGACGACGACGAGGAGAAGGAGAAAGUCGCUAUUUCCUAAGAAAAGUUUCA